UACGUAGGGUGCGAGCGUUGUCCGGAAUUAUUGGGCGUAAAGAGCUCGUAGGCGGUGUGUCACGUCGGCCGUGAAAACCUGCAGCUUAACUGUGGGCGUGCGGUCGAUACGGGCAUCACUGGAGUUCGGCAGGGGAGACUGGAAUUCCUGGUGUAGCGGUGAAAUGCGCAGAUAUCAGGAGGAACACCGGUGGCGAAGGCGGGUCUCUGGGCCGUUACUGACGCUGAGGAGCGAAAGCGUGGGGAGCGAACAGG
rnacentral:rRNA from 1 species